AUCCCAUGAUUUGUACAUUUUUUCAUAAGCUCUUUGAAUCUGUUCCAUGCUUCGUGAUAGCUCCUUCCAUCUCUCUGUUGAAAAGUUUGAAUCUAAUUUUUACUACU
rnacentral:snoRNA from 1 species